UGCCUAUACCCGGCCGUCGGUGACAGAGCUUGCCUCCCCUUGAUGGGAGUGCACUGAGGUCCCGACGAGUAAGGGGGUCGCAGCGGUGAGCGUUGAAGGGUCUGGGCGUGAGCCUGCCUGGAGCCGCCGUUGGUGCAGAUCUUGGUGGUAGUAGCAAAUACUCCAGAGGGAUCCUGGAGGACUGACGCGGAGAAGGGUUUCAUGUGAACAGUGGUUGGACAUGAGUCAGUCGAUCCUAAGCCGCAGGUGAAAUCCGUCCCAGAGAACGGCGUGCCUAAACCAAGUGUGAGGCGCCGCUGGGUGAGGCGAAAGGGAAUCAGGUCCUAAUUCCUGAACCUGGUUGCGGCACUGUUCAAGUUGGUUGCCCAGCUUGUCAUGGUAACAUGAACGAACCCGGAGAAGUUGUCGUGAGCCCCGGGAAGAGUUUUCUUUUCUGCAUGAGGGACUGAGACCCUGGAAUUCUGUCAUGGAGCGAUAGGGUUAUGGUCCCGAAGAGCACCGCAGAUCUGCGGUGUCCGUGGGUUCACGCCAGCCCUUGAAAAUCCGGGGGAGGGCCACGGAACGUUCGCACCAGAUCGUACCGAUAUCCGCAUCAGGUCUCCGAGGUGAACAGCCUCUAGUCGAUAGAUGAAUGUAGGUAA
rnacentral:rRNA from 1 species